rnacentral:lncRNA from 1 species
AUGGCAGCGAUAAUGCGCCAUGUAAACAUAGCUGGAUCCGUACAGUCAGCGGCAAACUAGGUAAAUAAGAAAGUGCUGUACAGGCUCGGCAUAAACCGGGGCAAAGCCAUAUCAUCAUGAUAAGGAAUCUGACGACGACACCUAUUUGCACACCGUCUCCUAAAACCGGCUGCCAACAAUAGCUGCCAGACUCAAAACAUAAUAGCUCAAGGGUUUUAG